UUCUCUUCUUCAUUCCAAUGGUUGGCCCUCUCUUCUUCUUGCCAAAUUUUGUUUGGUUUGAAUAUUUAGAAGGUGGUGAGGGUUCAGCUCGAGGCAAGGAAUUAGAGGAGAAGUAACACUCUCGUGGACUAUACUCACCUAAAGUUUGUUGGGCUUAUUGUUGAGUUUGUAUGGUGAUACCCUACUGCAAUAGGCGGUCUCCAAGGCUAGUCUUUUGAGGUGGCGCGGUAGACCGGCUGAUUACUACGAGGGUCAAUUUAGAAGGGAGAGUAUAAUCCUAACUAGAUAUUCAUCGGGUAGCCAGAGUCACCAACCGGUGAAUCGAUGGGUCAACGUCAAGGGCAUGAGUAAGUUGAUGGCUCUGGACCUAGCCAUGGCCACGGCGAAGGCUUGCGAGAUGUUUUCUAGACUACUUUAUGCUGGCCUUUUGUAGGUAGUAGGUGUGGUUGUGUGGCAAAGUGUUGAGCAUUUGCUACUGUUCUAUCUUCUAUGUAUCUUUUUAGUUAAUGUAUGUUUCUUUUUGUCAUGGACAGGUUGUUUAACUUAUGGAUCCACUAGGGUGUAGCAAACCUUGUUGCAUGGUUUUGUUUCUAAAUAACUCUUAAACUCAUGUGUAUCAGCAUUUACUGCUGUUGUUAAUGUUGAUUACCUGUGCAUUUGUAAACCUCUAUAUUUUUCAAUACA